GAAAAAACGAAGGGGGAGGCGGAGACUAGAAGGAAGAGAGAGCAAUGAAAUCGCCUGAGAUGAGGAUAUGUUGGAACUCAAGUACAAGGAAAUGUGGAACGAGAGAUUGAACAAGUACGAGGAGGAGCUCAAAAUGAAGAAAAGUAUGGAGACGCAUGCUUGCACUGAGUUGUCAGGAGACCAUCUUGCGAGAUAGGGCAUGAUGUUUCCCUAGGAAAUUUCCAGGGGAUUGGUGUCGAGAGGAGCACGUUGACAAGAAUAUAUCCUCGCUUCGGUACUGGAUGUACUCCAUAAAUGAGCAUGGGACACAAGAUAUACCUGCAAUUAUAGAGAAGAUCCUCCAAACAAAAGUUGCUGAAUUGGAAAAUAGCCAAAAAGUUGUGGAGGAAGAGAGUGGCAAUGAUCAGCCUUACAAACCUUGUGCAUUUUGUCAUAGUUUGGGAGGAGUUGCUAUUCUAAUGUACAUUCUAACACGUCGAAUUGAGGGAAAACCUAUUGAUCUUAUUAUCGCCUGCUGGGUUUCAUCAUGAUUCCGAUCCUGUAUUCACAAUGAUGGAAUGCUUAUUCCUGCAAUUGUCUCCUCUCCUUGCCCCUUUUGUGUCAGCUUUCUAUAUUCCCACUCGGUUUUUCUGCAUGCUGCUUAACUAGUUGGCCCGAGGCUUCCAUAACUUACCAGUUGUUGGAGGUCUUGUGCAAACUCUCAUAAGUUAUUUAGUUGGUGGAGAUAGCUCCAAUUGGGGGAUUUCUACUCCCUUAUUGAUAUUCCGAUUGAUCUUAUUGCUGGGCGUAAGGACAAGAUCAUCAGGCCAUCCAUGGUAAGGAAACAUUAUAAGCAGACGAAGGAUGCAGGUGUGGAGGUGUCAUAUAAUGAGUUCGAGUAUGCUCAUUUGGAUUUUACAUUUUCCCAUCAUGAAGAACUAUUGGCCUAUAUUAUGUCUCGAAAAUUUUUAGUAGGUGCUUCUAUGAAGCAGCAACCCGGCCAGAAAUCAUUGCAGAUUAGGAGAAAAGAGGGCAAACCAGAAACAACCGUUAAAGUGUAGCACUAACAAGAGCCGGACCAUCUAUGGAGAUCUUCCAAUGCCUCCAAGCCAUUAGAUUUUUCUUCAUCAUAAUCACAUUGGCGAUCCUCUAAUUUCA